UGGAUUAAUCAUUUACAACUUUUUUUUGAAUACAAAAUCAGAAAUACGAUAACAAAAAACUCGACAAACUCAUCUAGACUAUGAUAGAUUCUGAAACCACCUAAAAGACUUAGUACUAUUAGAAAGGACUAGAAAGUAAAAGACAACAUAAAAGGAAAGCGGACUCAAAACAUAAAAAAAAUCUCCUUAAGUAUCUCCUGAAUGCAACGGUCCUGACUGGAUGGUCCCGGGUGUCUGUCAUGCUCAAACUCAGGUAAGUAGAUUCACACAUGUAUGAGAAAACUAAAACAAAAUAGAGUUAAAGAUUUAGAACACUAUGUGAGACAAUAACACUCCAUAUUGGAUACAUGCAAGACAUGAUUGAGGCUAUUUUGCAAAAUAUCUUAUGUGACCAAAAGGUGGCUAGAAGUGCAAACUCAACAAAAGUGACCUCUAAGACAUGGAAAAAUUACUUUGCAGAAAUGACCCAUUUUGUAGAAAUGGCUUAUGUGGACGAAAAUGACUAAGAAUGCAAAUUUAACACAAUGGACCUUAAACAGAGAGAAUAUCUUGUUGUGGAGUUAGAACUCUAAGACAUGGAUCACUGAACCACUUUUUGCGAAAAUGAUCCCAUUUUGCAAGAACGACCGAUGUGGCCAAAAGCGGCAAGACAUGCAAAUUCAACAAGGAUGGGCCUUAAAGGAAAGAGACCUAAUUGUGGAUUCAAGACUCUUCAGACAAUUCAACAAACCGAAAAUAGCCAUAUUUUGCAAUAUGGCCAAUGUGGCCAAAAAUGGCUAGAGAUGCAAGAUUUGGCUACGACCCUCGAAGCCAACAACCUAAGACUCACUAGGAAUACCGAACCCUAUGUGGGUUGCCUACGUAUCCCGUCCCGAAAGACGAUAAUCAAGUAUACAUAGUUCGGAAAGAUUGGAUACGGGCAAAAAUUAAAAACAACUAAUUUGGAGAAAACAUAUUUUUUGUCUCUUUUUUUUUUGAAAAAUGAAGGGAAAGUGCAAAAUCUUUUUGGAUUUUCAUUUUUUUUAUUUUUAUUUCCGGGAAAUAAUGGGAAAUGCAAAAUCUUUUAUUUUUUGGAUUUUUUUGUCUUUUUCUUAAAAAAAAAUAAAUGAAGAAAAACAUAACAGGGUCCUACUUGCUUUAUUUUUACACUUCACCCUCUUUCUCUCUCAUUUACCCUCAACCAUUAUUAAUCUGCCAAAUGACCAUUUUUACCUUGAAGAAUGGAACAUGUAGCACAUAAGAUGCAUCAGGAUGGUCUUUUAUUUUUGGGUACACCUGUCAGACGGACUCAACCCCUGUGUUGAGUCCCCAAAGUCAAAUGCGCAUGAUGCAAACAACGUUCCUACUAGGGAUCCAACAUGAGGCUAUGUUAUUCUAGGUUUAAACUUGGGUUAUGUUCUAAACCUAAAUUAGCCGAGCAGACAGCUCGAGCUGAGGUAGGGGCAACGUACCGGGAGCACAAAAGUCUACUCGGCCUUGUUGUUGACCCAAGCCUCAUUCUAUUUGGUAUGACUUAUAACAAAAAAAAAAGAGGGCCACGUGUACGUGUGCACCAUAUUUUUAGAAGACUCAAAAGGGAGGCGUAAGAAGACAGUUUAAUACAGUUCAAAUAAUAUCAAAGCGGUAAAAAAGCGGCAGUUAGCAUAUUAGGUCCACAAAUACAGUUAUAUUAACAAACAAUAAAGUCAAGCAUAGAUCAUAUCAACAAGCUCGAAUUAUGAACCUUGAACUAGAGAUUCUGGGUUCGAUCCCCAGCAGAAUCGCCAGAGCUGUCAUACCUCCCUUUUUACCCGCAUAAGGGAUAUAAGUGAGUUUAUCCAAUUAAAGUGACAAUAAUUGGAACGGGAUUAUUUAUUCAAAUUCAGAGUCACCACUUGGGAUAAUUUAUGGUGUCCCAAGUCACCGGUUUAAAAUCCCGAAUCGAGGAAGUUUGACUCUGUUUUACAGUCUGCAAAACACAGAAAUUCGGGUAAGGAAUUCUGUUAACCCAAGAGAAGGUGUUAGGCAUUCCUGGGUUCUGUGGUUUUAGUACGGUCGCUUUAAUCAUAUACCUGGCUUAUUAAAUUAUUUAAUUAUGUACUUUAGAACUUACGUGCAUCUACCCCUUAACCGCUUUUAAUGGCUUGAUUAUUCAUAAAUUUGGAAUUAUCUUAAAAUAAGUCGCGCGUACGUGUACUCAUUUCGUUUGGCGCGUCAAGAAUUAUAUCACGCGUACACGUACACAAUUAAUCAUGCUUUGUAAAUAUUAAGAAUGUUUGGCUGAAGUUGUGCGAACGCAUACCUCGAUUUAUUUAAGAAUCAUAAUUAUGUCACGUGAACGUGUACAUAAACAUGAUAAUUUGUUAAUUAAGGGCGAGCAUAAAGCAUAUUGCUACGAAAAUAAGCUUCAAAUUCCAAAUGGCUUUAGCAAACAUGAAACACUAUGAUAGCCAUUAUUACACACAAUUUCUAAAAUAUUCCAUGAACUUCAAGCCAAUGAUAUUUAUCAAAAAAAACUUACGAACUAAAAAUGGAAUGUUCAACAAGGCACCAUGAAUUUAAUAAGUGAGGCUAACUUGAAGAAGGACUAAUUCACAACAGAAAACUUUUAAUCACUCUCUCAUCCUUCGUUCUCUUUCCUUUUUAAAUUUUAUAUAUUUAUAUAUAGGAAUUAACAAAAGCAAGACAUCUACAUUUUAAUCUACAGGAACUUCAUCAAAACAAUCCACAUAAAGCAGGGAAGCAAGAGCAUAGGAGAACUUAACAUACCAUUAUUUAUGAUCAUGUAUACACAUCUUUGUAAAAAAUUAAGUAGAAGAAGAGAUGCAUGGCAAGCCAGAAUGAGCGGUCAAUUGCAUAUCAACUAUUGAUCGCUAGAAGCCACUAAACUUGUCGAAACCAAAGAAUACCAUUGAGAUAAUGAAAUUGAACCAAAGGUUUGACAACCAAGAGAAUAAAUAAAUAGAGAUGUUAGAGUUCAUUCAUUACCUCUCAACAUGAUACACCAAUCAGAUCAGUAGAGCAAGCAGUUUCUUUGAGUCCUUUCCCGUUCAGUCCACAUGAAUUCCAAAUAACACUGUCAAAAAUUCUUGAAGACAUACAAGUGGGGUAGACCUUCUUUUAAAGAAUCUUUUAUAACUUUCAGAACAUCAAAAAAUCUUCCCACUGGUUUAUAAGAAGAACAUAUCGAUGAGGUUGAAAAUGAACAGUCCCGUCACUCGGAAGCCCCGACAGAAAUCUCAAAUCGGCGACGACCUUGACAGAACCGCGAAUCUCUCCGGAAACCUCAGACUACGAUCUCAACUCUGUUGGUUCAAUGCUGCAGCCGCUGAUGCACCACCAACGCGUGCUAAGGCAGUAGCAUCAGUAGGUAACAAGAGAAAAGAAGAAGCCAGUAGAAGCCCGUAUGAGUGAAAGGAUCGACGCAGCUUGAUAAUCUGGUGCGUGGCUGAUUUCCGACGUUCUUUGUGUGUAUGUCUUUUUAUAUGGGUGUGUGUUCUAGGCGUUCUUAGAGUUUUUCCGGCUGGACGCCGGUAGCUACGAGGUGAAGGGAAGUGGGGGUGAGUCAGAUCUUCGAGGGAGUUGGGUGGGGUGCUGGCGGAGAUGGGGUUGAUGGUGACGGCUGGCUGGUGGGUUUUUUAGAAAAGAUCUAGCUACUGAUCUCUAGACUUUUUUUAAGGACUGUUGCGGCUGAUUGUUUUUUAGGGGUUCUUCUAGGUUAGUUCAAAAUGUGUAUAUGAAGAAAAAGCUAGGGUUAGGGUAUAAGAGUUUUGGG
rnacentral:lncRNA from 1 species